rnacentral:rRNA from 1 species
AUAAGCAAACUAUACCGUGAAACUGCGAAUGGCUCAUUAAAUCAGUUAUCGUUUAUUUGAUAGUACCUACUUACUUGGAUAACCGUGGUAAUUCUAGAGCUAAUACAUGCUAAAAACCUCGACUUCGGAAGGGGUGUAUUUAUUAGAUAAAAAACCAAUGCCCUUCGGGGCUCCCUGGUGAUUCAUAAUAACUAAACGAAUCGCAUGGCCUUGCGCCGGCGAUGGUUCAUUCAAAUUUCUGCCCUAUCAACUUUCGAUGGUAGGAUAGUGGCCUACCAUGGUGGCAACGGGUAACGGGGAAUUAGGGUUCUAUUCCGGAGAGGGAGCCUGAGAAACGGCUACCACAUCCAAGGAAGGCAGCAGGCGCGCAAAUUACCCAAUCCCGACACGGGGAGGUAGUGACAAUAAAUACUGAUGUGGAGCUCUUUAGGGUUUCACAAUUGGAAUGAGAAAAAUCUAAACCACUUAAACGAGGAACAAUUGGAGGGCAAGUCUGGUGCCAGCAGCCGCGGUAAUUCCAGCUCCAAUAGCGUAUAUUAAAGUUGUUGCAGUUAAAAAGCUCGUAGUUGAACCUUGGGCCUGGCCGGCCGGUCCGCCUCACCGCGUGCACUGGUUCGGCCGGGCCUUUCCUCCUGGGGAACCGCAUGCCCUUCACUGGGUGUGCCGGGGAAUCAGGACUUUUACUUUGAAAAAAUUAGAGUGUUCAAAGCAGGCAUUUGCUCGAAUACAUUAGCAUGGAAUAAUAGAAUAGGACGUUGUGGUUCUAUUUUGUUGGUUUCUAGGACCGCCGUAAUGA